rnacentral:rRNA from 1 species
GGGGGGGGGGGGGGGGGGGGGGGGGGCGGGCGGGGCGGACGGGGGGGGCGGGUGGAGGGGCGGACGGGGGAGGAACGCGGGAGAAUCUAGCUUCGGGGCGGGGACCACAGGUAGAAAUGACUGCUAAUACCGGAUGUGCCGAAAGGUAAAAGAUUUAUUGCCUGAAAAAGAGCUCGCGUCAGAUUAGCUAGUAGGUGGUGUAAGAGACUACCUAGGCUUCGAUCUGUAGCUGGUCUGAGAGGACGAACAGCCACACUGGAACUGAGACACGGUCCAGACUCCUACGGGAGGCAGCAGUGGGGAAUUUUCCGCAAUGGGCGAAAGCCUGACGGAGCAAUACCGCGUGAGGGACGAAGGCUCUUGGGUCGUAAACCUCUUUUCUCAAGGAAGAUUCAGACGGUACUUGAGGAAUAAGCAUCGGCUAACUCUGUG